GUCCUAUGCCGUGACAAGUAGGUCUCUUUCCUAGUUCACAAACUGCUGUCAUAGUCCUUGUCUCUACAUAGAGGAGCCCUUAAUGGUCCAAUCAUUAAUCUGCCAGUCACUGGACAUAUGGCUAGUCCAUUUGUAAUGGCCCAUAAGUCUGUAAAUGUGUAGCAGAUAAUUGCUGUUAUAUUUUCCUGAACAGCCAUCACCACAGCACAGAGUUCACCCAGAGUACUGGGCAGAGUAUCCUUGUCUGGUCUCAGUCAAAAGAUGACUAUCCUUAGGAUGUGUCUUAGUCUACUUGUGCUGCUAUAGCAGAAUGCCUGAGACUGGGUAAUUUUAUAAAUAGAAAUUUAAUUUCUCACAGUUCUGGAGGUGGGAAGUCCAAAAUCAAAGUCUCCAUUUCCACAAUGGUGCCUUAAACAUUGCACUCUCCAGGGGGAAAGAGCACACUGUUCCUCACAUGGCACAACAGCAGAGGAAAGCAAACCCACUCUCAUAAGCCCUUUUUAUAGGGACAUUAAUCCAUUCCUGAGGGUAAGCCUUCAUGACCUAAACACCUCCCUUAGGCCCCAUCUCCCAACACUGUUGUAUUGGGGAUUUUUUGUUUUUUAGACACAAGGUCUUGUUAUGUUUCCCAAGCUGGUCUUGAACUCCUGAGCUCAAGCAAUUCUCCCACCUCAGCCUCCUGAGUGGCUGGGACUACAAGCAUGCAGCACUGCACCCAGCUGGGGAUUAAGUUUUAACAUUUUGGAGGCGACAAAACCAUUCAAUCCACAGCAAGAUGGACGGCUACAGCAGACCAUUAGAGUUUAUCAGCUUUGAGUUUCACAGCUCCCUCAGUGAGCCAACUCAUACCAUCAGCUGGAACAUCUUUGAACCAUGGGCUGCACCUAGCUAAGGGAACAUCCCCUAUGGGCUGUUCGGCGUCCUCUGGCAAGACAGUUACUUCAUGGAGUUGGCAGACCCCCUGGGAUCCCAAUCAGGCUCCAUCUUAUAUGUAACAUUUCCAUUUAAUGAUGGUACUUGGCUGAACCUGUCGUGUUUUAUUAGGAUUAGUGAGCACUGUGAAAAAAAUAAAAUCAGAUAAAGAAAAAUUUAAAAGUUUAUUGUUCAAACAAGAAGUACAGACCACAAUCUAGAAGACUCAAAUCAAGUGGUAAGAAAUUAAUCUUACAGCAGUUACAACACAGUUUAUAAUGCAUAAAGGGGGGGAAUAUUUUGACCUUUUUUAUAAUUGGCUGUUAUACAUUCUUUUUAGGGCAAGUUGAGCUGUUUAAGCUUGUUGGUCUAUAGCUGAUUGGUUUAAUUUCAGUGAAUCAUGCUGGCAAGGAUGUAAAGCUUACAUUUUGCAUUUCAUUUAUGAUCAGAGACAGCAUUUCAGGAAAAUCAGAAUGAUUAGUUUUGGUUACACGGUUGCGGGUAGUCAGCCUUAGGGUAUUUCUAAACUGGGGCUUCCAUUUUUAUUUUUCGUUAAUAAUACCUGCAUGAGAUGGGCAGCUCAGGUCUUAAGGUCACAUACAGUGCUUCAGUGGUCAAGUGUUCUGUUUAAAUUAGAGUCCAAUAGCAGGCUAGUAGCUGCCAUUCAAAGGGAAUGUAUAUGGCAACCAUCUUGGGUAAUUUAUAUGUCCAAAACCUAAGGGCCUGGUGCAUCCUGAUAGCAGUCUCUUGUUGCCGCAGUAUCCAAUCUGUAUGGGUAAGAGUCAAUGAGACCUGUAGUUCCAUGGGCCUACAUUAAUGUCAGGCCCAUGUUAAUGCAUAGUAGGCCUCUCGAGUCUGCUGUUGUUGAGGGCCCCAUUCAGAGGUGGCUGUGUUGUGGGUAAUUUUAACUAAAGGAGGCAAAAUAAUACUCAGAUGUGAUACAUGUUAUCUCCAAUAGACAAACAGGCAUACCAGCUAUUGAGCUUCUUUUAGGUGGGGGCUGCCAAGGACAAUAUUUGACUUUAUCAGGAAUACUCCUCUAAUUACUGGACCAGGUAGCUCCAGGGACUGCACUUGUUGGGCAAGUCUUGGGAUCUUAUCAGGGCUGACAACUCAACCUGCAUGUGUCAUAUUAUCUAUGACCUUAUGUAUGGAGUGGUCAACUUGUUUCAUAGGCUGGCAAUGAGCAUGUUAUUAAUAUAGUGGAUGACAAGUACUUUUCGAAGUAACUGGACAUGUUGCAGGUCAGGGGAAUGGAAGUAUUGCUAUGGACUGAACUGUGCCCCCAAAAUUCAUAUGUUGAAGCCCUGAGCUCUGACAUGAUUGUAUCUGAAGUCCUAAAGCCAGGAAUGAGGAAGGCUGUGAAUGUCCAUUGUUCCAUACAAGAAUGACUCUUCUCUUGGCUAUUUAGAGAUCAUGAGGGAUACUGCCCCAGUUUCCACAGGCCAGAUGGUCUCCAACAAAAGCCACGGGGGAGUCACCCCUGCCUGGCAGAUCUAUCGGGUCAGGACCACCGCCCAGGGGGUCCUGGAGAGGACAGUAUAGGACCAAAGAGGAUUAUUCAUGAGCCUAAGAUCUCAUGAAACGUGCCUUGCUAAGUUUUAGACUUGCAUAGGACCAUCAUCCCCCUGCUCCCCCAUCCUUUUUUAUUUUUUAUUGAUAGGGUUUCACUCUGUCAUCCAGGCUGGAGUGCAGUACGAUCACAACUCACUGUAGCCUCGAACUCCCAUGCUCAAGCCACCAUGCCUGUAUUCCUAACUAUAGGGGAGGUUGAGGCAGGAGCAUCUCUUGAGCCCAGGAGUUCAAGGCUGAGGUGACCUAUGGUCACAUCACUACACUCCAGCCUGAGCAACAGAGGGAGACCUUGUCAAAAAAAAAAACAGAAAACAAAACUGUAAGUAUAAUAAUAAUUGGGAAACUGUGCACUGUGUGCCCAGUAUUGUUACAAUAAUGUAUUCUUCACAACCCUAUGAGGUAGCUCCAUUUUAUAGAUGGAGGAAUAAGAUACAAGGAAGGUAAGUGAUUUGCCCAGGAUCACACACCUAACAAAGUGGUGGACUCAGGAUUUGAACCUAGGGCACUGGGAACAAAAUCUGUGCUCUUAACCACUAAACUACACUGCUUCUUCUAGAAAUAAGAUUAGAAGGAAACUUCCUAAAUCUAACAGAACAUCAGAAUCCAACAAUGAACACGAUAUGAAACUGCAGAAUACUAAAAACAUUCCCCCAAGCGUUAAGAGAAAGACAUCUACUGUUCCAUGUUUUCUGAAGUUCUUGCUAAUGCACAACAUAAGUGACAUCAAAAGACAAAUAAAUCAUUAUUUAUUCUAAACCUAGAAAAGCUAGGAAAUGAAUCUAACAAAUUAUUAAACCUAAAAAUAAUUUAUCAACAUAAUUGGAUCCAGAUAAAAUUUGUUUAAAUCAAUAAUUAAAGUUUAUACUAGCAGUGACCAAUAGAAAUUGAAGUAUGGCUUUCAAAUGCAGCCAGUUUUCCUCCAUCCAAGAGCCUGAGGCUUUUUCAGGAUUCACUUGUACUGAGCACCCACACCAGACUGGUGGCAGUGAGUUAAUAUAGUUAGGAAAUGGUGCACAUUCCCACACUCUGGAGGCUUAGUAUGGUAGGGGAUGAGCAGGCAAGAACCAGAAGGUAAAACUGCAGCUUCCAACAGGCAGGAUGGUUCUUCUGCAGACAUGACUGGCAAUGUCCAACUCAGGGCGGGGAACCAGAAAUGUCCAACUCAUGUGCUCAUAUAGUGUGGGGCUCUUCCCUGAAAUCUGGGGGCUCCCAAAAUAAGACAGUUAAAGAGGAAAAAGUCCUAUCUGCAUAUCUUUUAAAAGAAAAUGGAAAAAAAUACAAAAAAACAAGCUGAAAACAUUUAAAAUACAUAUUCACAAAUGGUAAAAUUCCAGCCGUGUCAUGAGCUCCGGUUUGUUGUUUUGUUGUUGUUAUUGAGACAGAGUCUCGCUCUGUUGCCCAGGCUGCAGUACAGUGGUGUGAUCUUGGCUCACUGCAAUCUCUGCCCUCCAGGUUCAAGUGAUUCUCUUGCCUCAGACUCCUGAAUAGCUGGGAUUACAGGCGUGCACCACCACACCCAGCUAAUUUUUGUAUUUUUAGUAGAAACGGGGUUUUACAAUGUUGGCCAGGCUGGUCUCAAACUCCUGGACUCAGGUGAUCUGACCGCCUCAGCCUCCCAAAGUGCUGGGAUUACAGGCAUGAGCCACUGUGCCCAGACAAGUUUAGAAAUUUCAAAAGGCCCUGAAAAACUUUAGGCCCCCAGUAAUCCUUUCUAACUUUGUCUGAGACAUCUCCCCAACAAUCACAUUUAAUUCUAAUUUUCUUGAUCCUCAACUCUCUUUCCUUUCUCCUGCAUUGUCUGAAACAUACACCACAGUGCACAAAAUCACCCCUCCAGGUUACAUGACUGACAUUGCCCCUCUAGCCUCCUCCUCCACCUUUGUCAUACUGCGGAUCCUGUCAGCCUGUUAAGAAAUCUGGGGGAUGGAGGCCAGGCGUGGUGGCUCAUGCCUGUAAUCCCAGCACUUUGGGAGGCCGAGGCAGGCAGAUCACGAGGUCAGGAGAUCGAGACCAUCCUGGCUAACACGGUGAAACCCCAUCUCUACUAAAAAUACAAAAAAAAUUAGCCGGGCCUGGUGGCGGGCGCCUGUACUCCCAGCUACUCGGGAGGCUGAGGCAGGAGAAUGGCAUGAACCUGGGAGGCAGAGCUUGCAGUGAGCUGAGAUCGUACCACUGCACUCCAGCCUGGGCGACAGAGCAAGACUCCGUCUCAAAAAAAAAAAAAAAAAGUCUGGGGAUGGAAAGAGAACAGGGUGAACAUUAGAGUAAAAGGUCCACCGGCACUGGGCCAUUAUUGCAAGGGUGGAAGGAAAGGUGGUUCAAGCUCAUGGACUGACAUAUGACUGCAGAAGGAAAG
rnacentral:lncRNA from 10 species